rnacentral:rRNA from 1 species
GAAAGAAGAGGUGAGGUGAGAAGAGACGGACUAAUCGCUAAUAAAGUCGGGUGCGUGCCCGUGGUUGUGGUGAACGGGGUAGCGGUUCGAGGUGACGAGGCGAGGCGAGGAGGGGAGGCAGAGGGAGGGUUCGGGGAGCAGAGGCUGUCUAGUUCCUCCGGUCCUCGUCGUUGUUCUAGUCGUCGAGCUAACCCGUCCGUUCGCCGCCUACCUCAAGCACGACUAGUAUAGGGACGGCGAGGAGUAGGACUAGGAGUAGUAGCGCCAGCAGGAGACGUAGCAGACGGCGAUCGGGCGAUCGGUGUACGGCUGCGGUUUCGUGAGCAGAGACGAGCCAGGCGACACUGACACCAGCGUGGUAUACAACACAAUUAGUUAGGUUAUAAUGUAGUACUGAGCUGUAUCUUUUCAUUUCUUUUUUCGAGGAGAGGUGGUGGUAAAGAUAAAAAGACAAGACAGUGACACCACACUAAUCGACCGAUAUCGAAAUAACCGAAAGGACUACCGUUGUUUUCGUAGCUAGGGUACACAGCUAUGCGUUACGUAUACUAUAUACACCGACAUUUUUUUCUUCUUGUUUAAGGCAAGGACGAGACUAACUAAGCCCCUCCAACUUAUGGAUUUUCACGG